rnacentral:hammerhead_ribozyme from 1 species
AUCCAUAUGACGAGUCCCGAAUAGGACGAAACGCGCGUCAAACUGGAU